CAGUAGCCACGGGAAUACGAAGGGUGCAAGCGUUACUCGGAAUUACUGGGCGUAAAGCGUGCGUAGGUGGUGGUUUAAGUCCGUUGUGAAAGCCCUUGGCUCAACCUGGGAAUUGCAGUGGAUACUGGGUCACUAGAGUGUGGUAGAGGAUAGUGGAAUUUCCGGUGUAGCAGUGAAAUGCGUAGAGAUCGGAAGGAACAUCUGUGGCGAAGGCGACUAUCUGGGCCAACACUGACACUGAGGCACGAAAGCGUGGGGAGCAAACAGGAUUAGAGACCCCCGUAGUCCCUGUCUCUUAUAC
rnacentral:rRNA from 1 species